CAUUUUGAAAUGUGUGUGAUCUCUGUAUUAGAGUAAAUGGCCCACCUUCUUUUUCCUUUUAACUGCUGCAAAGUGCAACUGUAAGCCCAGCUUUCUUGAGCUUCAACUCCUAUCAUUGGUGUAAAUCUGUUUUAUCAUCCAACGAUUGUACAGCUUGUGAUACAUAGCACUCCUUAUUAGGGAACAAUGGGACUGCUAUGAUUGGCUAAUAGGAUUUGAUUGUUUCUGGUCUUGGUUUAGCG